AGAGUUUGAUCAUGGCUCAGAUUGAACGCUGGCGGCGUGCCUAACACAUGCAAGUCGAGCGGUAACAGGUGUAGCAAUACAUGCUGACGAGCGGCGAACGGGUGAGUAAUGCUUCGGAAUCUACCCAUUGGCGGGGAAUAACUAGCCGAAAGGUUAGCUAAUACCGCAUAAGCCCUACGGGGGAAAGCAGGGGAUCGUAAGACCUUGCACCGAUGGAUGAGCCGAAGCCGGAUUAGCUAGUUGGUAGGGUAACGGCCUACCAAGGCGACGAUCCGUAGCUGGUCUGAGAGGACGACCAGCCACACUGGGACUGAGACACGGCCCAGACUCCUACGGGAGGCAGCAGUGGGGAAUAUUGGACAAUGGGGGAAACCCUGAUCCAGCGACGCCGCGUGUGUGAAGAAGGCCUGCGGGUUGUAAAGCACUUUUAGUGGGGAUGAAAAGUUCAGGGUUAAUACCUCUGAAUCUUGACCUAACCCAAAGAAAAAGCACCGGCUAACUCUGUGCCAGCAGCCGCGGUAAUACAGAGGGUGCAAGCGUUAAUCGGAAUUACUGGGCGUAAAGCGUGCGUAGACGGUUAUGUAAGUCAGGUGUGAAAGCCCCGGGCUCAACCUGGGAAUGCCAUUUGAGACUGCAUAGCUAGGGUACGGAAGAGGGAAGCGGAAUUUCAGGUGUAGCGGUGAAAUGCGUAGAUAUCUGAAGGAACACCAGUGGCGAAAGCGGCUUCCUGGUCCAGUACCGACGUUCAGGCACGAAAGCGUGGGGAGCAAACAGGAUUAGAUACCCUAGUAGUCC
rnacentral:rRNA from 1 species